UGNGAAAUUUGCUGUGCUGAGAAAUUUGCC
rnacentral:piRNA from 1 species